CUUAACACAUAUCUACCCUUUGAUUUCACACAUAUACUCCAUAAAUAAACAUGCUUACAUUGCUGCAGAAUAUGUUGGCUCUUUAUAAAUGCCAGUAAAAAUAAAUGCCUUCAAACACACACAAACUGCUUACAAGUAAAAUCCUGCAUGGAUGAGCAGUAGAUCCCAUAUCAUGGGAUAUAUACUAUCGAUGGGAAUCUAUAUUUUGGCUACCUUUGUGCUACCGGGUCCCAAAAUAAUUUUU